rnacentral:rRNA from 1 species
UACGUAGGUGGCGAGCGUUGUCCGGAUUUACUGGGCGUAAAGGGGCGUAGGCGGACUUUUAAGUGAGAUGUGAAAUACCCGGGCUCAACUUGGGUGCUGCAUUUCAAACUGGAAGUCUAGAGUGCAGGAGAGGAGAAUGGAAUUCCUAGUGUAGCGGUGAAAUGCGUAGAGAUUAGGAAGAACACCAGUGGCGAAGGCGAUUCUCUGGACUGUAACUGACGCUGAGGCUCGAAAGCGUGGGGAGCAAACAGGAUUAGAUACCCUGGUAGU